GGUCAUAAACAUUUUCAUAUCUAUUCAUAUAUUUUAGGGCUUUUAUAUAGUUCAAAGCCGGGCAAUGGUUACUCACAGAGCUCUAGAGAUAGUAAGAGUUGCGACACUUCCAUAGGGUCCCGUUGUACGCUUUCUUCCAGUCUACUUCCGGGUUGUGGAGGCUUGUUUAGUUCCAAGCACCGCUUCGACACUGACAGCCACCGUUCAUUUGCACUGCAGGUCGUUGAGUAUAUGUGGAGUAUCCCGAGAGCCCUCACUGAAGACACGAAGACCCUCAUUGUUUCUCCCAUUGUCAAUAAAAACAUACUAUUUCAUUCAUCAAAGCAUAAUGAGUUGUUAUUCUUGAAUAUAUAUUUUGUGUAUGUCUUAAAAUGGUUAUAGUGAGUCAACUCCUGCCUCAUCAGAAGUGGCUGGACACUAUCUGCUGAAUGGACUGUUGUUACUCUGCUUUUCAAUAACUCCCAGACGACGGGUAAGUGAAUCAGAGAAAUAUAGACAUUGUCUGGAAAUACAAUAAUCCAGCUGGGCAAAAAUUAACAUCUUCAAUCAUCUUACAUUUCUGUGUAAAAUGCUAUGCUAAUACGAAUGUGAAACAUUCCCUCCAAAACCCCAAAAGUGUCUUUAAUAUGUCACCUUACGGCUCAAAAUGUAAAACUGACAUUUACAUACAUACUCCAAUGAAUUAAUAAUCGUGAAAUCGCCGCUCUCAGUCCCAUAGAAGGAAAUGACAUCGCUGCCUGUUUGGAACUAUUCAGGCUUACAUGAACCACGUGACCGCCCCGCUGCGAGAGCAUGAGUGUCGCAACUCUUACUAUCUCUAUGGCUCUGGAACUAUUCAGGCUUACAUGAACCACGUGACCGCCCCGCUGCGAGAGCAUGAGUGUCGCAACUCUUACUAUCUCUAAGGCUCUGGUUACUCACCGUUCUCUUGCUUUGACGUCAGGGGCACGCCCCCGUUGGCCUCACUUCCUGUUUACAUUUUACCGACAGGUAUGGUAGCAGUUGCUGCAUCGUUUGCUCUUUGUUUAAGGCUGUUUUCGUGUGUUGUGGUUAUAGUAGCCAUUUAUUAUUCUCAUAGAGUCACCGUGGUGCGUCAGAAGUGAGCCGCAUGCAGGCUGCGUUUUGUGUGUGUUUCCAGUCCGACCUGUCAGCCGCUCGUGGCCCGUUACCGCUAGGUCCUUUAUGCUUGCUAUCGUGUGCUGUGGUUAUAUUGCAUGCAUAUAACCGCUUGUCAUUUUAGGCUGUUAUUUUGGCUGCGGGUUGUUGCCUGUUCUGUCCUUCUGGACCGAUGCACUGACCCGCGUGGCCGCCGUUUGUAGUGAUGGCUGAUCGAGGCUUUGUUGAAGCUUCGACACUUCAUUCAAAACAUGGUUCAUUACUCGAGGCUUCAAUGACACACAGUGCUCCAGUAGGACAUCUAGUGGUCAAUAAAAUGAAAUGCAAUUGAGACGUGGUAAUUGGUUCAUGGAUUGUUUUGGAUUUGAUAGGCCAUGUACACAUUGGUAUUUAACUGCACUAGAUGAUUGUAUAGGUUCUCGCCGAGAACAACAACAACAAUAAUAAUAAUUAUUAUUAUUGAAGAGCAUGUUUCUUAUUUGCCAUGUCUGUAACCCUAUGUACUUUUCACUUAUAUUCUGUGUGAUUAAACAUUUAAAUGGUGCUGAUA